GACGAACGCUGGCGGCGUGCUUAACACAUGCAAGUCGAACGGUAAGGCCCUUCGGGGUACACGAGUGGCGAACGGGUGAGUAACACGUGGGUGAUCUGCCCUGCACUUCGGGAUAAGCCUGGGAAACUGGGUCUAAUACCGGAUAGGACCACUGCCUGCAUGGGUGGUGGUGGAAAGCUUUUGCGGUGUGGGAUGGGCCCGCGGCCUAUCAGCUUGUUGGUGGGGUGAUGGCCUACCAAGGCGACGACGGGUAGCCGGCCUGGGAGGGUGACCGGCCGCACUGGGACUGAGAUACGGCCCAGACUACUACGGGGGGCAGCAGUGGGGAAUAUUGCACAAUGGGCGCAAGCCUGAUGCAGCGACGCCGCGUGAGGGAUGACGGCCUUCGGGUUGUAAACCUCUUUCAGCACCGACGAAGCGCAAGUGACGGUAGGUGCAGAAGAAGGACCGGCCAACUACGUGCCAGCAGCCGCCGUAA
rnacentral:rRNA from 1 species